rnacentral:rRNA from 1 species
GAACGAGUGUAGCAAUACAUUCGUGGCGAACGGGUGCGUAACACGUGGAUAACCUUCCUUGAGGUGGGGAAUAACCCAGUGAAAAUUGGGAUAAUACCGCAUAAAAAGACGAUGGCACAUGCCGUUGUCUUCAAAGGCGCAAGUCGCCACAAGAGGGAUCCGCGGCCGAUUAGCUAGUUGGCGAGGUAACGGCUCACCAAGGCAAUGAUCGGUAGCCGGUAUGAGAGGAUGGCCGGCCACACUGGAACUGAGACACGGUCCAGACUACCUACGGGAGGCAGCAGUGGGGAAGCUUGCACAAUGGGCGAAAGCCUGAUGCAGCAACGCCGCGUGGGGGAUGAAGCUGACUCGGAGUGUAAACCCCUUUCGACCCGGACGACAUGCCCGCAAGGGCUUGACGGUACGGGUAUAAGAAGCCCCGGCUAACGACGUG